rnacentral:rRNA from 1 species
GACAGAGGGUGCAAACGUUGUUCGGAUUUACUGGGCGUAAAGCGCGUGUAGGCGGCUUGGCAAGUCGGAUGUGAAAGCCCACGGCUCAACCGUGGAAGCGCAUCCGAAACUGCUUCGCUCGAGUCUCGGAGAGGAAGGUGGAAUGCUUGGUGUAGAGGUGAAAUUCGUAGAUAUCAAGCAGAACACCUGCGGCGAAGGCGGCGAUCUGGGAAGAUACUGACGCUGAGGUGCGAAAGCGUGGGAGCAAACAGG